UGAGGAGAGAGAGAGAGAAAGAAGGAAGGAAGGAAGGAAGGAAGGAAGGAAGGAAGGAAGGAAGGAAGGAAGGAAGGAAGGAAGGAAGGAAGGAAGGAAGGAAGGAAGGAAAGGAAAGGAAAGAGGGAAGGAAGGAAGGGACGAAGGAAGGGACAAAGGAAGGAAAGUAGGAAGGGAGAAGAGAAGGAAGGGAGGGAGGAAAGAGAGAAAGAAAAGGAGGGAGGAAGGAAAGUAGGAAGGGAGAAGAGAACGAAGGGAGGGAGGAAAGAGAGAAAGAAAAGGAGGGAGGAAGGAAACCAGUUAGCCAAGGCCAACCAGAAAGAGUUAGUGUCUUGUAAAGGGGUGGGGACUGAUUUGUACUACAAACAAAUAGAUCACAAGCUCUUUAAAGGCUGUGGUGAUACACAACAUAGUCCUGACAAUGUUUAA
rnacentral:lncRNA from 1 species